GACGAACGCUGGCGGCGUGCUUAACACAUGCAAGUCGAACGGUGAACUCCGCUUGCGGGGGGAUCAGUGGCGAACGGGUGAGUAACACGUGGGCAACCUGCCCUCAGCUCUGGGAUAACUCCAAGAAAUUGGGGCUAAUACCGGAUAUGACCGCUGACCGCAUGGUCUGGUGGUGGAAAGAUUUAUCGGCUGGGGAUGGGCCCGCGGCCUAUCAGCUUGUUGGUGGGGUAGUGGCCUACCAAGGCGACGACGGGUAGCCGGCCUGAGAGGGAGACCGGCCACACUGGGACUGAGACACGGCCCAGACUCCUACGGGAGGCAGCAGUGGGGAAUAUUGCGCAAUGGGCGAAAGCCUGACGCAGCGACGCCGCGUGGGGGAUGACGGCCUUCGGGUUGUAAACCUCUUUCAGCAGGGACGAAGCGAAAGUGACGGUACCUGCAGAAGAAGCACCGGCCAACUACGUG
rnacentral:rRNA from 1 species